rnacentral:rRNA from 1 species
UUCUAGCAGUGAGGAAGGUGGAUAUGUUAAUAGCAUAUUCAUUUGACGUUAGCUGCAGAAGAAGCACCGGCUAACUCCGUGCCAGCAGCCGCGGUAAUACGGAGGGUGCGAGCGUUAAUCGGAAUUACUGGGCGUAAAGCGCAUGCAGGUGGUUUGUUAAGUCAGAUGUGAAAGCCCGGGGCUCAACCUCGGAAUUGCAUUUGAAACUGGCAAACUAGAGUACUGUAGAGGGGGUAGAAUUUCAGGUGUAGCGGUGAAAUGCGUAGAGAUCUGAAGGAAUACCGGUGGCGAAGGCGGCCCCCUGGACAGAUACUGACACUCAGAUGCGAAAGCGUGGGGAGCAAACAGGAUUAGAUACCCUGGUAG